CGGACGGGUGAGUAACGCGUGGGUAACCUGCCCUGUACAGGGGGAUAACAGCUGGAAACGGCUGCUAAUACCGCAUAAGCGCACAGUACCGCAUGGUACAGUGUGAAAAACUCCGGUGGUGUGAGAUGGACCCGCGUCUGAUUAGCUAGUUGGCAGGGCAACGGCCUACCAAGGCGACGAUCCAUAGCCGGCCUGAGAGGGUGAACGGCCACAUUGGGACUGAGACACGGCCCAAACUCCUACGGGAGGCAGCAUG
rnacentral:rRNA from 1 species